AAUAGAUGUCACCGUUGACUUUUGUCACAUGUUUAACUAUUCAUCUUAUUCAAAAUAUUUACGUAAUUAUAAUUUAUUUUGUUAUGAGUUGUUUUAUCACUCAUAGUAAUUUAAGNGNGAUUUAUAUCUUAUACAUUUGCAUAAAAUUUUUAAAUAAGACGAAUGGUCAAACAUGUGAGAAAAAAUCAACGGCGUCAUCUAUU
rfam:Oryza barthii chromosome 1, whole genome shotgun sequence.